GCACCCGCCGGGCGCCGCCUUCCCUCCGUCGCCGUUCGGUGCCCCGUGGGCGGCAUCGAUCCCGCGCCCACCGCCUUCCCGGAGCGGGGAGGUCCCUUAGGCCGCCCCACAGCUGUGCUGGGCCUCCCCCGGGGUUGGGCCGUGCCCCUCCGGCGGGGAACGGCGGGCCUCGGCAGCGCGGAGCGCGUUCUGUCUAUGCCGUGGUUUUUGUUCUGCUGUGGGAUCUGCGUGACGCUGAAGGACACCCAGCACGAAUCGUUCCAGCUGAUGUUAAGAGGUUUCACACCUCCAACGGCACGCAGCCCUGGGAACGGCUUCACAGCGGAGCUGCGGAGGCCACAGCCGUGAUGUUAUCACGGAGCAGCGCUGGGUUGUGAAGGCACGGGAGGCUGCUUCCAGUCUGGGGCUGUUUGAGGAAAUCACACUGCUUCCAGGGCUCUUCUUUUCUACAAAUUCCAUGCUGGAAAAAUUGGAGCUGGAAUCGUAACAAUUCAAAACCAGGAAAACAAAUAAAGAGAACCUUGCAUUAAUUGUUUGAACUCCGACGAUUUCCAGGGUCGCAUCGAGAUUUCUGGAUGGAGUUCAGAAUUUCUGAGCUUGGUUUGGCCGGCUGCCAAGGGGUGCAUUAAAACCUCUGAAUAAUACGCACCGGUUGCAAUUUCUCCUUAUCUCUGCCACCCUCUUGAAAGUCGUUUAAUGCGAGGAAGAUAUCGCAGAUGCCAUGUCAUGUAACGCAGCUCGCUGGCCUGGCAGAGGGCUGCUACGUAAGCAUGCAGCUGCUCUCUCUGUGAAACUGCAGGUCUGCACAUGCUGAGCACGGGUUGAGGGCCGCUCUGUCCCCCUGCGGUUGGUCCUCACAGUAUGCUGGCUGCCACGGGGACUUGUAAUUCAAAUCCAUGACGUUCUCAAAGACUCAAAGGCGGAAAAUGUCAUGACAAAAAAUCAAAGGCUGUCCACUGUACUUCAUGUGUGAGUUGUCUCCUAACUUCCCUGCAAGAGCACUGAUGUUGCAGGUGUGUUUGUCCCCAGGUAGCUGUAUGGGAGGCCUAGCCGUACACUUGCACCAGACAAAGCAGACCUUCAAAGGCUAGCAGACGUGUUUCAUCUUAAAUGUACCACGUAAAGUGUUUGUUAAGAUCUGAAUUUACAGUUUCUCGCUGAUAAAAAGACCUCUCCCUAGAGGUGUAGAGAGAGGUAAGAUCCUUUUCGUUUAGGAAGACUUAAGAAAAAAACAAAGAAUCAAAUAACCGUGGUUACUCUGCCCGAAAGCUAAAAAAUCUGUAACAAAUGAAAAUAGAUUUCCUAAUCAGGAGAUGAACUUCUCUCGGUGCUAAAGAGUGUAUCACAAAAGCAUUUAAAAUAAUUCCAUCGUUGGAUGAAUAAUUCUUUGGUGGGAUGGAUGUUUUCACAGGUUUCCUUAGAACAUCAGGAGUGGGUCUUGGUUUGCUCCUAUACACAACCAAAAUAUCCAAUUGCUUAUGGCAGCAAGUUGGAAGGAAGAGAGAAAGGUCAGUACAAACACUACAGCCGUGGCCCUGCCUAGCUGCUCUCACUGCUGCCAGCCAGCAGGUAACAGCAGUGUGCCGGGGACCACCACAGUUUUCCCCAUCUUUGUUCACUUUCCAGCUUCUCUCUCUUUCCUCUGCUUUCUGUUACGGAUGCAGCCAUGAGCUUGUCUUGGGUACACAAAAUUAACCUUUGCCUACAAUUCUGAGAGGCUUUCAGCCAGCUUAAAUGUGAGCACAUGAACAUAGGCUCAGAUCCGCAAAUAGACCGGGGUGAUGCAGCAUGUGACUCCCACGGCAAAAUCCAGCACUGAGAACGAGGCUUUACAAACACCCAAAUACGUGGAGCACUGCAGUGGCUGACAGAAGUUCAAAGCUUUGCUGGGCUACUGAGUGAGGAGCCACCUCAAUUUACCUGCAAGAAGGACUGAGGUUUGGGAAGUCUGGACUUCAGCAGCUGUACAGGGCUUUGUCAAAUCUUGCCUGUCAGAUUAAACAUCAGGUCAGACUGUCUAGGAUGCAGUUUGUGGUACGGCUUGGAUGUUAGACUAGUGGAAGGCAUACACUCCAGACCCCAAGUCACUUCUAUGGAUUUCAUCAUCUCUUGGGUUUUUUUUUCUUUUUCUUUUCAAUAUGCUGUUAGAAUAUGAACACAAUAUGUAGCAUCCUGCUAUUGGUGUCAUGAAUGUCUGUGGAAAUAACAUUGUCUGUCAUCAAUAUUUAUUUUUCAGAUGAGCACGAGGUGUCCCUGUUGUAGGUAUGACACUGGAAACUCACGCUCAGAUGUUUCACCAGGCUACAGAUAAAAGCGUGAGAAAGAGAUUGUUGUUCCAAUAGAAGUCCCAGCCAGCUGCAAGGUCUUACUCAGAAGUAGCAGACACAGCUCUUCUCAAACUGUGAAUGAGAACUGGUGGUGACAGACUUAUUGAUAAGGAUGGAGUUGACACUGAUCAGGAGCUUCAGGGGCUCUGACCACUACUCAGCAAUUACUUCUGCACAUCCAAUCUCCAAAUCAAUCCAAUUUACUCCCACCCGCUCCCAAAUCAGUCCUUCUGUCAGUCUCUUGCAGUUCCCCC
ensembl:lncRNA